UGGGCGUAAGAGAGUGCAGGCGGUUUUCUAAGUCUGAUGUGAAAGCCUUCGGCUUAACCGGAGAAGUGCAUCGGAAACUGGAUAACUUGAGUGCAGAAGAGGGUAGUGGAACUCCAUGUGUAGCGGUGGAAUGCGUAGAUAUAUGGAAGAACACCAGUGGCGAAGGCGGCUACCUGGUCUGCAACUGACGCUGAGACUCGAAAGCAUGGGUAGCGAACAGGAUUAGAUACCC
rnacentral:rRNA from 1 species